AGCAAUCUGUGAUGUAGACUGUAUCAUAUCUGAUUUAUCUCGUGAUUAUCAUAUACAAUUAACACCAUCUUUCGGCUGAGGUUGCU